UAGGGAAUCUUCGGCAAUGGACGAAAGUCUGACCGAGCAACGCCGCGUGAGUGAAGAAGGUUUUCGGAUCGUAAAACUCUGUUGGUAGAGAAGAACGUUGGUGAGAGUGGAAAGCUCAUCAAGUGACGGUAACUACCCAGAAAGGGACGGCUAACUACGUCACG
rnacentral:rRNA from 1 species